CCUAGCAGCACGGCAGGAUGGGCACAGUUCAGGUAGAGCCAUUAAGAAGCGCGUGAAAAAAUACAGACUGGAGGAACUGAAGAGAGAGCUGGAGGCUUUGGGGGUUAACGUUGAUGGACAUGGACAAAACAUGGAUGAAAAAAAAAAAAAAAAAAAAAAAAAAAAAAGACCAAAAAGGAACUCCAAAACCUCCUAAUAAAGGAGCUGAAGCGGGUCAAAGACGGCAGAACUGGCCUGGGCAAGAGGGCUUGGGAGAGGGCAGAAGGACUAACUCUGCCCAUGGAGAUCCCAGAAGACAUCCUAAAUGUUCUUCAUGACCUUGGAUGUAUUCUUGGACAAAGAGUUGGAAGACUGUGAGAGAAAUGAACAGAGGGAUGACGAUGUGAAAGCUGUGCUCGACAGUCUCCUAGAUAAAGUGGACUCGACUCUGGCUUCAAAAGGACUGAAAGACAGAGUCUUGAGGCCAGAGGUUGGAGACAGGAAAGAGGAGGCCGAGCGGGAGGCCAAUUUCUGGAGUUCCAGAGAGAGGCCAAUUUCUGGAGUUCCAGAGAGAAUCACAAAGGCUCCGUCCCCAGGAGGAGGUUUCCGUGGGCCAGACACAGCAGCAGACGGCUGACUGUAAACAAUUGACAAGGACCAUCAAAAAAAAAAGAUACAAUUUGUAGUGAUCUUAA